rnacentral:rRNA from 1 species
GGCGGUAGGCGGGCUGAUUAAGUACAGCGGUGAAAGGUAAGCAGCUUAACUGUUUUACUAUGCCGUUGAUACUGGUUAGCUUGAGUUGACAGAAGGCAGAUAGAAUUCCUGGUGUAGCGGUGAAAUGCUUAGAUACCAGGAGGAAUACCGAUUGCGAAGGCAGUCUGCUGCAGUCACACUGACGCUGAGGCUCGAAGGUGCGGGGAUCAAACAGGAUUAGAUACCCCGGU